rnacentral:rRNA from 1 species
CCUACGGGAGGCAGCAGUGAGGAAUAUUGGUCAAUGGGCUUAAGCCUGAACCAGCCAAGUCGCGUGAGGGAAGACUGCCCUAUGGUUUGUAAACCUCUUUUGUCAGGGAGCACUUGCCGCUACGUGUAGCGUUGUCGAGUGUACCUGAAUAAAAAGCAUCGGCAAACUCAGUGCCUGCAGCCGCGGUAAUACGUGGGAUGCGGGCGUUCUCCGUAUGUAUUGGGUUUAAAGGGUGCGUCGGCGGAGCGUUAAGGCAGUGGGCAAAUUGAGGGGCUCACCCCAUUCGCGCCAUUGAUACUGGCGCACUUGAGUGGAGGAGAAGUAUGUGGAAUGCGAGGUGUAGCGGUGAAAUGCGUAGAUAUCACGAAGAACACCGAUUGCGAAGGCAGCAUGCCGGCUUCCGACUGACGCUGAAGCACGAAAGCGUGGGGAUCGAACAGGAUUAGAUACCCGAGUAGUC